rnacentral:lncRNA from 1 species
GAGAAAUCUUUCAUGAUCCUUCAAAACACUUACUUUUGCAGCUUUUCUUGGGCUCCCACUCUUGGUAGUUUAGAUGCUCUUCCAAAGCACGCACAUUGCCUACAAAACUUGAGGAAUUAGUGAUUAAAACUCCCAUGUGUAACCUAAGCUAAACUUAUUCACAAAGUUAGAUGAAAGAGAGGAUUAAGCAUGUUUCAAGCUUCAAGAGAGUUGAUUUGGUAAGAAAAUUGCACCACAGAUAAUGGUAA